GGUGGCUGCGCACUGCAAGCCGGUGAACUUGGCCAGGUC
rnacentral:SRP_RNA from 1 species